CAGACAUGGCACAGCUCCUGACACAUACACUGACAAUAAUAGCACAGCUUGGCAAUAAAGAAUGGAUUUCCAGUGUAGGAUUUCACAAAAUACAAGCCUAUUCCAAGGAUCUGCCUCGCUGUGUUUUAUCUCGACACACUCACAAAAAGAUCGAGUGACUGUUGGAGCAGCUCUCCUCCCUUCCUCCACCGGGCCGACGCUAUUUCUUUGUUUCAUGCUUCAGUGCAGCAAUCAUUACAGACCUGAUGUCAAUGGAGGCUUUGUGAAGCUGCAGAGAACAGAGGGGUGGAGGGAGCAAUUGAAAAGCACCUCUGACUCCCUUCUACAGAGGGAGUAAUUUUUGCUUUUGUUUGGUGCCUUUUGAAUGAUUGUAUCCUUGAAGGUUAAAUGUUCCUAAAGCAUAAUAAUACGGAUAAUUUGGAGGCAGCCGCAGAAGAAUAUUAUGAUUGAAUGCAAAUUGAAACAGGUUUUACAGCACCUGCAGUCGGUCACAGUCUGGUAGGUUUUGGAGUAAAUCAAUGUUUCAUCUUGUCAGAGUAAAUCAGCUCAUAAUAUGUGGGAUUUAAUCUGCGUAAUGCAGAAUCAAGUUUUUUUGUUUUUUUUUUAAAUGGUAACAUGGAGUUAGAAUAUGAAGGUGAAAACUGUUUAAAAGUGGUUUAUACUGUUACUGACUAAAAUGAUAAAGAUAAAUACUUAUAGUAUGAAUGUAUUUUAUGUUAAAUUAUUUCCUAUUCAAACAAUUUUAGAGAAGAGGUCCAUCAUGAAUGUUUGUGUAAUUUUUAUGUCUCAGACUUUUUCAUUAACAUUUUUUUCACCAGGCAAAACAUAAGGGGCCAUUUAUUAUUUACAAUGUUAGCCAGAAAGUGCUAAAAUACUUCUUAGUUUGUCAUGCCAAGGGUGUUUUUUUUUUAAGUCAAGUUUUAUUUAUAUAAGUUUAUAUAAUUUUACUGAAAUCUUCUAAAAAAAAAGAGAUGGUUGCUUUCAAAAUGCAUUCUUCAGACUUUUUCUCAUCAGUCUGCAGCCGUGUACUUAUUGUCACCCCUCAUAAAGAUGUGUAAUGAGCCUCAAAA